rnacentral:lncRNA from 1 species
UCCUAGCUCAGAGACUUUUUUUCCAUUGCACUGAACCCUCAGAGACUGCUUCGAUCGAUUGCACUGAACCCUCAGAGACAGCUUCUUCGAUUGCAAAGCCACUCUCUCCAAAAAUCUUCUUCUCUCGUUUACUCUAUGAAAUCUGUUGAAUUUUCCUCUCUAUCGUAUUCCUCUCGCUCACUCUCUGAAAUUGGGUUAAUAGGUUUUUACACAUAAGUUUUGCUGAUUUAGUGGGUGUGGAAAAUUUUUGGUAUCGUGAAGGGGUGGUGAAAUUUUGAGGCAUCCAAGCAAAUUUCCUCAAAAUUGUAUUAGAGAAUAUUGUGAUGAUUGUGCAUAAGCCAAUCUAAAUCUUGAUUACUGUACUGCAAGGUAUGCAAGUCCGAUGUAAUUCAGGAACUGUAACUUAUUUUAGUUGUUCUUUCUUACUUUUAUGUAUAUGAAUGUGACAUAUGUUUGUUUUAUUCGUAUUUAUAUUUUGUCUUAUUUAUUGCAGACAACAAUCCAUCGUUCUCUAAGGCAAUGCUUAGAGUUUUGUGACCCAAAACCUUUUUAUAAAUUCCUUUGUCUUUUUAUUCAUA